rnacentral:sRNA from 1 species
UCUGAUGACCACAGAGGGGGGUGAGAAAUCUCGCCGGGUUCGAACAGAGCAGCUUGCAGUGAUGAACGGCUGCAGUCCGCCCGAAGGGGUGAGCCACGCAGUGGCGAAUCAUUCUUCCUUCAUCGCCA